UACGUAGGUGGCGAGCGUUGUCCGGAUUUACUGGGCGUAAAGGGAGCGUAGGCGGACUUUUAAGUGAGAUGUGAAAUACCCGGGCUCAACUUUGGUGCUGCAUUUCAAACUGGAAGUCUAGAGUGCAGGAGAGGAGAAUGGAAUUCCUAGUGUAGCUGUGAAAUGCAUAGAGAUUAGGAAGAACACCAGUGGCGAAGGCGAUUCUCUGGACUGUAACUGACGCUGAGGCUCGAAAGCGUGGGGAGCAAACAGGAUUAGA
rnacentral:rRNA from 1 species